rnacentral:rRNA from 1 species
AACGCGAAGAACCUUACCUGGGUUGAACUACGCAGGAAAAGCCGUAGAGAUACGGUGUCCGAAAGGGCCUGCGAUAGGUGGUGCAUGGCUGUCGUCAGCUCGUGUCGUGAGAUGUUGGGUUAAGUCCCGCAACGAGCGCAACCCUUGUCCUGUGUUGCCAGCGGAUAAUGCCGGGGACUCGCAGGAGACUGCCGGGGUCAACUCGGAGGAAGGUGGGGACGAAGUCAAGUCAUCAUGCCCCUUACGUCCAGGGCUGCACACAUGCUACAAUGGCCGGUACAAAGGGCUGCUAUUCCGCGAGGAUGAGCGAAUCCCAAAAAGCCGGUCUCAGUUCGGAUCGGAGUCUGCAACUCGACUCCGUGAAGUCGGAGUCGCUAGUAAUCCCGGAUCAGCAACGCCGGGGUGAAUACGUUCCCGGGCCUUGUACACACCGACAUA